UUCCAAUACUUGGUAAAGCCUACUACUAC
rnacentral:sRNA from 1 species